GGAGGUGUGUAGCGUCUGGUGACGCUCUCGGUCUUCAAAACCGUUGUGGGGCUGAUAAGGUUCCAGGUGGGUUCAAUUCCCAUGCACCUCCG
rnacentral:tRNA from 1 species